GGUGAACGCUGGCGGCGUGCUUAACACAUGCAAGUCGAACGAGAACGGAAUAUAGCUUGCUAUAUUUGUCAGCUAAGUGGCGCACGGGUGAGUAAUGUAUAGAUAACCUGCCCUUAAGAAAGGAAUAACAGUUGAAAACGACUGCUAAUGCCCUAUAUGCCUUUAAUACAUAAGUAUGCAAGGGAAACGCUUUAGUGCUUAAGGAUGGGUCUGUAUGGUAUCAGCUUGUUGGUGAGGUAAUGGCUCACCAAGGCUAUGACGCCUAACUGGUUUUAGAGGAUGAUCAGUCACACUGGAACUGAGACACGGUCCAGACUCCUACGGGAGGCAGCAGUGGGGAAUAUUGCACAAUGGACGAAAGUCUGAUGCAGCAACGCCGCGUGGAGGAUGACACAUUUCGGUGCGUAAACUCCUUUUAUAUAGGAUGAUAAUGACGGUACUAUAUGAAUAAGCACCGGCUAACUCCGUGCCAGCCGCCGCCGUAA
rnacentral:rRNA from 1 species